rnacentral:snRNA from 1 species
AUCACUUCUUGUCCUUUUGGNUAAGAUCAAGUGUAGUAUCUGUUCUUAUCAGAAACUAUAAAAAUGUGGCUUGAAAAUUGAAGAGGGACUAUUA